rnacentral:rRNA from 1 species
UACGAAGGGGGCUAGCGUUGCUCGGAAUCACUGGGCGUAAAGCGCACGUAGGCGGAUUGUUAAGUCAGGGGUGAAAUCCUGGAGCUCAACUCCAGAACUGCCUUUGAUACUGGCGAUCUCGAGUCCGGGAGAGGUGAGUGGAACUGCGAGUGUAGAGGUGAAAUUCGUAGAUAUUCGCAAGAACACCAGUGGCGAAGGCGGCUAUCUGGACCGACAUUGACGCUGAGGCGCGAAAGCGUGGGGAGCAAACAGG